ensembl:snRNA Gm23021 predicted gene, 23021
GUGCUUGCCUGGCAGGGAAGUUACCAUGACCAGGAAGGUGGUUUUCCAGGGCAAGGCUGGAAAACCUUGCCUAUCUGUUGUUCUUAUGUGCCCAUCCCUGCGAUUUCUCCACAUUCAAGGGUUUCAGCUGCACCGCCUUGGUAGUAAGGGCUGCAUUCACACUCUCCUAU